GAUGAACGCUGGCGGCGUGCCUAAUACAUGCAAGUCGAGCGAACGGACGAGAAGCUUGCUUCUCUGAUGUUAGCGGCGGACGGGUGAGUAACACGUGGAUAACCUACCUAUAAGACUGGGAUAACUUCGGGAAACCGGAGCUAAUACCGGAUGAUAUUUUGAACCGCAUGGUUCAAAAGUGAAAGACGGUCUUGCUGUCACUUAUAGAUGGAUCCGCGCUGCAUUAGCUAGUUGGUAAGGUAACGGCUUACCAAGGCAACGAUGCAUAGCCGACCUGAGAGUGUGAUCGGCCACACUGGAACUGAGACACGGUCCAGACUCCUACGGGAGGCAGCAGUAGGGAAUCUUCCGCAAUGGGCGAAAGCCUGACGGAGCAACGCCGCGUGAGUGAUGAAGGUCUUCGGAUCGUAAAACUCUGUUAUUUGGGAAGAACAUAUGUGUAUGUAACUGUGCACAUCUUGACGGUACCUACUCAGAAAGCCCCGGCUAACUACGUG
rnacentral:rRNA from 1 species